CGUGGUAUCCUGUCUGAAUAUGGGGGGACCAUCCUCCAAGGCUAAAUACUCCUGACUGACCGAUAGUGAACCAGUACCGUGAGGGAAAGGCGAAAAGAACCCCGGCGAGGGGAGUGAAAAAGAACCUGAAACCGUGUACGUACAAGCAGUGGGAGCACGCUUAGGCGUGUGACUGCGUACCUUUUGUAUAAUGGGUCAGCGACUUAUAUUCUGUAGCAAGGUUAACCGAAUAGGGGAGCCGAAGGGAAACCGAGUCUUAACUGGGCGUUAAGUUGCAGGGUAUAGACCCGAAACCCGGUGAUCUAGCCAUGGGCAGGUUGAAGGUUGGGUAACACUAACUGGAGGACCGAACCGACUAAUGUUGAAAAAUUAGCGGAUGACUUGUGGCUGGGGGUGAAAGGCCAAUCAAACCGGGAGAUAGCUGGUUCUCCCCGAAAGCUAUUUAGGUAGCGCCUCGUGAAUUCAUCUCCGGGGGUAGAGCACUGUUUCGGCAAGGGGGUCAUCCCGACUUACCAACCCGAUGCAAACUGCGAAUACCGGAGAAUGUUAUCACGGGAGACACACGGCGGGUGCUAACGUCCGUCGUGAAGAGGGAAACAACCCAGACCGCCAGCUAAGGUCCCAAAGUCAUGGUUAAGUGGGAAACGAUGUGGGAAGGCCCAGACAGCCAGGAUGUUGGCUUAGAAGCAGCCAUCAUUUAAAGAAAGCGUAAUAGCUCACUGGUCGAGUCGGCCUGCGCGGAAGAUGUAACGGGGCUAAACCAUGCACCGAAGCUGCGGCAGCGACACUAUGUGUUGUUGGGUAGGGGAGCGUUCUGUAAGCCUGUGAAGGUGUACUGUGAGGUAUGCUGGAGGUAUCAGAAGUGCGAAUGCUGACAUAAGUAACGAUAAAGCGGGUGAAAAGCCCGCUCGCCGGAAGACCAAGGGUUCCUGUCCAACGUUAAUCGGGGCAGGGUGAGUCGACCCCUAAGGCGAGGCCGAAAGGCGUAGUCGAUGGGAAACAGGUUAAUAUUCCUGUACUUGGUGUUACUGCGAAGGGGGGACGGAGAAGGCUAUGUUGGCCGGGCGACGGUUGUCCCGGUUUAAGCGUGUAGGCUGGUUUUCCAGGCAAAUCCGGAAAACUAAGGCUGAGGCGUGAUGACGAGGCACUACGGUGCUGAAGCAACAAAUGCCCUGCUUCCAGGAAAAGCCUCUAAGCAUCAGGUAACAUCAAAUCGUACCCCAAACCGACACAGGUGGUCAGGUAGAGAAUACCAAGGCGCUUGAGAGAACUCGGGUGAAGGAACUAGGCAAAAUGGUGCCGUAACUUCGGGAGAAGGCACGCUGAUAUGUAGGUGAAGUCCCUCGCGGAUGGAGCUGAAAUCAGUCGAAGAUACCAGCUGGCUGCAACUGUUUAUUAAAAACACAGCACUGUGCAAACACGAAAGUGGACGUAUACGGUGUGACGCCUGCCCGGUGCCGGAAGGUUAAUUGAUGGGGUCAGCGCAAGCGAAGCUCUUGAUCGAAGCCCCGGUAAACGGCGGCCGUAACUAUAACGGUCCUAAGGUAGCGAAAUUCCUUGUCGGGUAAGUUCCGACCUGCACGAAUGGCGUAAUGAUGGCCAGGCUGUCUCCACCCGAGACUCAGUGAAAUUGAACUCGCUGUGAAGAUGCAGUGUACCCGCGGCAAGACGGAAAGACCCCGUGAACCUUUACUAUAGCUUGACACUGAACAUUGAGCCUUGAUGUGUAGGAUAGGUGGGAGGCUUUGAAGUGUGGACGCCAGUCUGCAUGGAGCCGACCUUGAAAUACCACCCUUUAAUGUUUGAUGUUCUAACGUUGACCCGUAAUCCGGGUUGCGGACAGUGUCUGGUGGGUAGUUUGACUGGGGCGGUCUCCUCCUAAAGAGUAACGGAGGAGCACGAAGGUUGGCUAAUCCUGGUCGGACAUCAGGAGGUUAGUGCAAUGGCAUAAGCCAGCUUGACUGCGAGCGUGACGGCGCGAGCAGGUGCGAAAGCAGGUCAUAGUGAUCCGGUGGUUCUGAAUGGAAGGGCCAUCGCUCAACGGAUAAAAGGUACUCCGGGGAUAACAGGCUGAUACCGCCCAAGAGUUCAUAUCGACGGCGGUGUUUGGCACCUCGAUGUCGGCUCAUCACAUCCUGGGGCUGAAGUAGGUCCCAAGGGUAUGGCUGUUCGCCAUUUAAAGUGGUACGCGAGCUGGGUUUAGAACGUCGUGAGACAGUUCGGUCCCUAUCUGCCGUGGGCGCUGGAGAACUGAGGGGGGCUGCUCCUAGUACGAGAGGACCGGAGUGGACGCAUCACUGGUGUUCGGGUUGUCAUGCCAAUGGCACUGCCCGGUAGCUAAAUGCGGAAGAGAUAAGUGCUGAAAGCAUCUAAGCACGAAACUUGCCCCGAGAUGAGUUCUCCCUGACUCCUUGAGAGUCCUGAAGGAACGUUGAAGACGACGACGUUGAUAGGCCGGGUGUGUAAGCGCAGCGAUGCGUUGAGCUAACCGGUACUAAUGAACCGUGAGGCUUAACCUUACAACGCCGAAGGUGUUU
rnacentral:rRNA from 1 species